UAUUUUUCACCCACUCCCUUUCCAACUUCCAAAUUUUUUCCUAUAAAUACCCACCAUACCUUUCUUCAUACACCACAAACCAUUCUAUAAAAUACAUUUCAUUUUCUUUCCUUUUACUUCUUUCAACCCACUUAUCAGUAUGGCGGGAAACCAAGAAUUCGGAAAUAUCAUCUUCCGAUCCGAAGAUGAUAAUUAUCAAAGGGAGCAGUUUG
rnacentral:lncRNA from 1 species